rnacentral:rRNA from 1 species
AGAGUUUGAUCCUGGCUCAGGACGAACGCUGGCGGCGUGCUUAACACAUGCAAGUCGAACGGAAAGGCCCUGCUUUUGUGGGGUGCUCGAGUGGCGAACGGGUGAGUAACACGUGAGUAACCUGCCCUUGACUUUGGGAUAACUUCAGGAAACUGGGGCUAAUACCGGAUAGGAGCUCCUGCUGCAUGGUGGGGGUUGGAAAGUUUCGGCGGUUGGGGAUGGACUCGCGGCUUAUCAGCUUGUUGGUGGGGUAGUGGCUUACCAAGGCUUUGACGGGUAGCCGGCCUGAGAGGGUGACCGGCCACAUUGGGACUGAGAUACGGCCCAGACUCCUACGGGAGGCAGCAGUGGGGAAUAUUGCACAAUGGGCGGAAGCCUGAUGCAGCAACGCCGCGUGCGGGAUGACGGCCUUCGGGUUGUAAACCGCUUUCGCCUGUGACGAAGCGUGAGUGACGGUAAUGGGUAAAGAAGCACCGGCUAACUACGUGCCAGCAGCCGCGGUGAUACGUAGGGUGCGAGCGUUGUCCGGAUUUAUUGGGCGUAAAGGGCUCGUAGGUGGUUGAUCGCGUCGGAAGUGUAAUCUUGGGGCUUAACCCUGAGCGUGCUUUCGAUACGGGUUGACUUGAGGAAGGUAGGGGAGAAUGGAAUUCCUGGUGGAGCGGUGGAAUGCGCAGAUAUCAGGAGGAACACCAGUGGCGAAGGCGGUUCUCUGGGCCUUUCCUGACGCUGAGGAGCGAAAGCGUGGGGAGCGAACAGGCUUAGAUACCCUGGUAGUCCACGCUGUAAACGGUGGGUACUAGGUGUGGGGUCCAUUCCACGGGUUCCGUGCCGUAGCUAACGCUUUAAGUACCCCGCCUGGGGAGUACGGCCGCAAGGCUAAAACUCAAAGGAAUUGACGGGGCCCCGCACAA